rnacentral:rRNA from 1 species
UGGGGAAUUUUGGACAAUGGGCGAAAGCCUGAUCCAGCAAUGCCGCGUGUGUGAGGAAGGCCUUCGGGUUGUAAAGCACUUUUGUCCGGAAAGAAAUCCUUGGCUCUAAUACAGUCGGGGGAUGACGGUACCGGAAGAAUAAGCACCGGCUAACUACGUGCCAGCAGCCGCGGUAAUACGUAGGGUGCAAGCGUUAAUCGGAAUUACUGGGCGUAAAGCGUGCGCAGGCGGUUUGCUAAGACCGAUGUGAAAUCCCCGGGCUCAACCUGGGAACUGCAUUGGUGACUGGCAGGCUAGAGUAUGGCAGAGGGGGGUAGAAUUCCACGUGUAGCAGUGAAAUGCGUAGAGAUGUGGAGGAAUACCGAUGGCGAAGGCAGCCCCCUGGGCCAAUACUGACGCUCAUGCACGAAAGCGUGGGGAGCAAACAGGAUUAGAUACCCUGGUAGUCCACGCCCUAAACGAUGUCAACUAGUUGUUGGGGAUUCAUUUCCUUAGUAACGUAGCUAACGCGUGAAUUGACCGCCUGGGGAGUACGUCGCAAGAUUAAAACUUAAAUGAAUUGACGGGGUCAUAGCUGUUUCCU